rnacentral:misc_RNA from 1 species
GUUUUUUUUUCUCAGGAACUAUAUUUCCACUGGUUUAGGUCAGUAAUUCAAUUGUUGUAUAGUCAAGGAAGUUAAAUCCUUGACUUCCCUAGAAUUCAAUAGAUAUUGCCAACCAAACAAGUGGCAUUUUGAUACUUCCCAUGAACUCUAAAUUCCUUAGUUAAAUUAAACCCAACCAAACAAAGCCUUAGUGUUAUCAGCUUUCUAUGAAGUUGAGCUUAG